ensembl:lncRNA
AAUCAUUUCUUCAAUAAUUUGUCCUCGACGUGUUCAGUGUUUAUACUGUACUGGGACAGACCUCUUUAAUGAUUUAAUAUCCCAUACAGCAUGUUUGGUUUUGCCUUAUUUUAUUUUGUCUCAUCACUGAAGAUGACAUUUUAAGCCCAAGCUUAUCCAGUCAUUUUCAGUUAUGAUCUAUCAUCCAGAAUCCAAGCUGCCUGUGUUGUUGAUACAGCAAAUAAUUCUGAUUUAUCUCUUGUAAACGCCUGUGAUUUCCCCUGUCGUGGACGAGCAGAGCACUUGAAUCAUUCCGCCAUUAAUCCCCACAUUGUUUUAUUUACUUUCAGCUCUCACCAACUGGAAGGCAAAGGGCGCAUUAUGAGGUCACAAAACAACGACUUCACUGUUGGGUCUCAGCAACAGCCUGUCAUUUGUGGCGUGCUUUUGAGGGAGUGAAUUGCCUUGAAGGUUGUGGAAUAACACUCAUGCUAAUCUGAGCGUCCUUGCAAGUGCUUUAAAGGUCUUAAACUAUCUGGAGAGUGUCUUAGGCCGAGUGUUCCCAGUGUGCUGCGAACCUGCACUAUACGCCUGUUCAGUGUGGACUUGCACUCCUGCCAUUCCCCCAGGGGCCGUUUUGAACCAGGGCCAAAACUUUCACAGCGGGUCAAAAGUCUGCACUCCUCCUCUCACUAACCCACAGGCGGGUGCCCUGCUCACCUCACACCAGAGGCAGACCCUGCUGGAGGACUGAGGUUAGCACACACAGCUAACAGCACUGAAACCAGGGCAGUGCCGUAUGAUGGGCCCUUCAUGAUUUCCAAGCAAAGGAGUGCGGUUGCCCAGAGCAUUACUGUACAAAUGAAUUUCCUUUCUGCGUUAGGAGGGCAUUUAAUAUGUCUCUCGAAAUGCACCACAAAGGAUGGCCAACACCCGUUUCUAUCUUUAGAAGGGGGAAUCCACCCAAAGCUGUCAAUCAUGUGGUCUAAUCUCUCAGAAAAAAAAAAGGUAAGUCAGAGCACACAGCUUAAUAUUGUAAAUACAUUAAUUUGUACAGAAAUAUAAAUUGAGAACAUCAGCCAUUUUCUCAAUGAAGGCAUCCCCAUUUAUUAGAUCAAGAAGCAUAAUGAUUGUGAUUAUGUAGGGAAAAUGUGGGAGAAAAGUAAAGCAUGUGUACACCUGAAAAUAUGCAGCAUUUCUAAGAAAACAAGCACAGGACUAAAGAUUUAUCUGCUUCUGGACUUUACUCACUGCUUACUUUUUCUUGGACUCUGUCUAUGUUUUUCCAAGAGCUGGGAACUAUGCAGAAAAAAGGUCAAAGAAAUAAUGAUUUGGAAAAAAAAAAUGUGUAUUAAUUUUUUGUAAUACUAAAUUACAGCCUUAUGAAAAGCAGGGAUUAAUGGACUCAGUCCUGCUUUGUAUAUCUCACUGGCACUCAGUGAAGAAACACUUUAUAAAUCACACUAGACGUGAGGGAUUAUUAGUGCAACAUGCUUUGUUUCUUGGUUUGUGUUAUUGCCAAAUCUUUAAGUACAUGCAAUACCCUACUUUAAUCUGUGUUUAAAAAUUCACAGAAGAUAUUUAAUACUAUUAUUUUUUCAGUGUGGCUUUAGAAUGGUGUGCUGUUUUAAAAAAAGAAGGGGGGGGGGGACUGAAGACCGAAGGUACACAGAGAGGCAGACUGUAAUUUUAAAAUCCCUCCACUAACUAUUUACUGUGAAGCAAUAACAAAUUGUUAAGAAACCACCAAUGUCUUCGAUGGCUGGAGUGUUUAGUAAAAAAAUAUCUCACUUAAUCAGCUUCAUGUCUGGAAAAACAUGCUGUCCUGAGUCAGUAUACUUAUAGACUGGGUAUGGCUGUUUAUUCUUGAUGAUAAAUAGCCCAAAUGCAUAAGCACAUAAACACAAAUAAAUAUUCAGCUCACACUGUUGCUCUUCA